UAGAAUGGCAUCGCUUCAGAUUUGGA
rnacentral:piRNA from 1 species